rnacentral:rRNA from 1 species
CAGUCGCCACGGGAAAACGUAGGGCGCAAGCGUUGUCCGGAAUUAUUGGGCGUAAAGAGCUCGUAGGCGGUCUGUCGCGUCUGGUGUGAAAUCCCGAGGCUCAACCUCGGGCUUGCAUCGGGUACGGGCAGACUAGAGUGCGGUAGGGGAGACUGGAAUUCCUGGUGUAGCGGUGGAAUGCGCAGAUAUCAGGAGGAACACCGAUGGCGAAGGCAGGUCUCUGGGCCGCAACUGACGCUGAGGAGCGAAAGCAUGGGGAGCGAACAGGAUUAGAUACCCCUGUAGUCCCUGUCUCUUAUAC